rnacentral:rRNA from 1 species
AUGAGUAGCACGGCUAGCCCGAUCAUGAGCCGGAACGUCCGGGGCCUGAACAACCCAGCCCGGCGUGCUGUAGUUCAGGACACGGCAAACGCGCACCGCCUAGCCAUUCUCUGCAUCCAGGAGACCAAACUUGAGGAGUGGACGGCAACGAUCGCUAGAGAAGUAGGAGGGCAAAGGCUCGACGACUGCAUCGUCCUACCAGCUAAUGGCACAAGAGGAGGCGCUGCUAUUUUCUGGGAUUCGACCUUAGCCAGAGUCCAAUCCCAUAUGAUCGGCGAGUUCUCCAUCACAGCCAAGGUCACAGUUCUCUCCACGGGAGCUAGUUUUUGGUUGACGACG